rnacentral:rRNA from 1 species
GAUGAACGCUGGCGGCGUGCUUAACACAUGCAAGUCGAACGGUGAAGGCGGAGCUUUCUCUGCUGGAUCAGUGGCGAACGGGUGAGUAACACGUGAGCAAUCUGCCCCUGACUCUGGGAUAAGCGCUGGAAACAGCGUCUAAUACUCGAUACGAGCUGCGAAGGCAUCUUCAGCAGCUGGAAAGAAUUUCGGUCAGGGAUGAGCUCGCGGCCUAUCAGCUUGUUUGUGUGGUAAUGGCUCACCAAGGGUUCGACGGGUAGCCGGCCUGAGAGGGUGAACGGGGACAAUGGGACUGAGAGACGGACCAGACUGCUACGGGAGGCAGCAGUGGGGAGUAUUGCACAGUGGGCGAACGUGUGAUGCAGCAACGCUGCGUGAGGGAAGACGGCCUUCGGGUUGUAAACCUAUUUUAGCAGGGAAGAAGCGAAAGUGACGGUACCUGCAGAAAAAGCGCCGGCUAACUACGUG